rnacentral:sRNA from 1 species
AUCCUCGACCUGCUGGGGGCAGAUGAAAUGAAUGUGGCUGUCGAUGCCCCCGGCCGUCAGGAUCCUGCCCUCGCCGGCGAUCACCUCGGUUCCCGGGCCGAUGACGAUGUCGACGCCGGGUUGCGUAUCGGGGUUGCCGGCCUUGCCGAUCUUCGCGAUCCGCCCGUCCCUGAGGCCGACAUCGGCCUUGAAGAUGCCGGUGUGAUCGACGAUCAGCGCAUUGGUGAUGACCGUAUCCAUCGCCCCCUCGGCGCGGCUCGCCUGAGACUGCCCCAUUCCGUCGCGGAU